UUUAUUGAAGAGUUUGAUCCUGGCUCAGCGCGAACGCUGGCGGCACGCCUAACACAUGCAAGUCGUGGGGCAGCAGACCCUCCUUCGGGAGGGUGCUGGCGACCGGCAAACGGGUGAGUAACACGUGGGUAACCUACCCCCAGGAGGGGGAUAACCCCGGGAAACCGGGGCUAAUACCCCAUAA
rnacentral:rRNA from 1 species